rnacentral:ncRNA from 1 species
AUUACCGGACUCGCAAAACCCAACCGUUUGUUCGGAAGGUGAGCCUGUCUGGGUCGGGGGGUUCUAUAAACCGCCCAGCCUCAUCCCGUGAAAUCGCUUCGCGUGGAGUGCUUACGACGUAGGCUGAGGGACUUAGAAAAGCCAGGGGUCACCCGACCCGUGGUCGUUUAUGCUGAUACUCUGAGAGAUGUGAUCCG